AACGAACGCUGGCGGCAGGCUUAACACAUGCAAGUCGAACGCCCCGCAAGGGGAGUGGCAGACGGGUGAGUAACGCGUGGGAACAUACCCUUUCCUGCGGAAUAGCUCCGGGAAACUGGAAUUAAUACCGCAUACGCCCUACGGGGGAAAGAUUUAUCGGGGAAGGAUUGGCCCGCGUUGGAUUAGCUAGUUGGUGGGGUAAAGGCCUACCAAGGCGACGAUCCAUAGCUGGUCUGAGAGGAUGAUCAGCCACAUUGGGACUGAGACACGGCCCAAACUCCUACGGGAGGCAGCAGUGGGGAAUAUUGGACAAUGGGCGCAAGCCUGAUCCAGCCAUGCCGCGUGAGUGAUGAAGGCCUUAGGGUUGUAAAGCUCUUUCACCGAUGAAGAUAAGGACGGUAGUCGGAGAAGAAGCCCCGGCUAACUUCGG
rnacentral:rRNA from 1 species